rnacentral:rRNA from 1 species
ACGAACGCUGGCGGCGUGCUUAACACAUGCAAGUCGAACGGAAAGGCCCCCUUGUGGGGUACUCGAGUGGCGAACGGGUGAGUAACACGUGAGUAACCUACCCUUGACUUUGGGAUAACUUCAGGAAACUGGGGCUAAUACCGGAUAGGAGCUCCUGCUGCGUGGUGGGGGUUGGAAAGUUUCGGCGGUUGGGGAUGGACUCGCGGCUUAUCAGCUUGUUGGUGGGGUAGUGGCUCACCAAGGCUUUGACGGGUAGCCGGCCUGAGAGGGUGACCGGCCACAUUGGGACUGAGAUACGGCCCAGACUCCUACGGGAGGCAGCAGUGGGGAAUAUUGCACAAUGGGCGGAAGCCUGAUGCAGCAACGCCGCGUGCGGGAUGACGGCCUUCGGGUUGUAAACCGCUUUCGCCUGUGACGAAGCGUGAGUGACGGUAAUGGGUAAAGAAGCACCGGCUAACUACGUG